GGAAUAUUGCACAAUGGGCGCAAGCCUGAUGCAGCCAUGCCGCGUGUAUGAAGAAGGCCGUCGGGUUGUAAAGUACUUUCAGCGGGGAGGAAGGUGGUGUGGUUAAUAACCACAGCAAUUGACGUUACCCGCAGAAGAAGCACCGGCUAACUCCGUCCCAGCAGCCGCCGUAAUACGGAGGGUGCAACCGUUAAUCGGCAUUACUGGGCGUAAAGCGCACGCAGGCGGUCUGUUAAGUCAGAUGUGAAAUCCCCGGGCUCAACCUGGGAACUGCAUUUGAAACUGGCAGGCUUGAGUCUCGUAGAGGGGGGUAGAAUUCCAGGUGUAGCGGUGAAAUGCGUAGAGAUCUGGAGGAAUACCGGUGGCGAAGGCGGCCCCCUGGACGAAGACUGACGCUCAGGUGCGAAAGCGUGGGGAGCA
rnacentral:rRNA from 1 species